rnacentral:rRNA from 1 species
GAUGAACGCUGGCGGCGUGCCUAAUACAUGCAAGUCGAGCGAACAGACGAGGAGCUUGCUCCUCUGACGUUAGCGGCGGACGGGUGAGUAACACGUGGAUAACCUACCUAUAAGACUGGGAUAACUUUGGGAAACCGGAGCUAAUACCGGAUAAUAUAUUGAACCGCAUGGUUCAAUAGUGAAAGACGGUUUUGCUGUCACUUAUAGAUGGAUCCGCGCCGCAUUAGCUAGUUGGUAAGGUAACGGCUUACCAAGGCGACGAAGCGUAGCCGACCUGAGAGGGUGAUCGGCCACACUGGAACUGAGACACGGUCCAGACUCCUACGGGAGGCAGCAGUAGGGAAUCUUCCGCAAUGGGCGAAAGCCUGACGGAGCAACGCCGCGUGAGUGAUGAAGGUCUUCGGAUCGUAAAACUCUGUUAUUAGGGAAGAACAAAUGUGUAAGUAACUAUGCACGUCUUGACGGUACCUAAUCAGAAAGCCACGGCUAACUACGUG